UGACGGGUGCCUAUACAUGCAGUCGAGCGAACAGACGAGGAGCUUGCUCCUCUGACGUUAGCGGCGGACGGGUGAGUAACACGUGGAUAACCUACCUAUAAGACUGGGAUAACUUCGGGAAACCGGAGCUAAUACCGGAUAAUAUAUUGAACCGCAUGGUUCAAUAGUGAAAGACGGUUUUGCUGUCACUUAUAGAUGGAUCCGCGCCGCAUUAGCUAGUUGGUAAGGUAACGGCUUACCAAGGCAACGAUGCGUAGCCGACCUGAGAGGGUGAUCGGCCACACUGGAACUGAGACACGGUCCAGACUCCUACGGGAGGCAGCAGUAGGGAAUCUUCCGCAUUGGGCGAAAGCCUGACGGAGCAACGCCGCGUGAGUGAUGAAGGUCUUCGGAUCGUAAAACUCUGUUAUUAGGGAAGAACAAAUGUGUAAGUAACUAUGCACGUCUUGACGGUACCUAAUCAGAAAGCCACGGCUAACUACGUGCCAGCAGCCGCGGUAAUACGUAGGUGGCAAGCGUUAUCCGGAAUUAUUGGGCGUAAAGCGCGCGUAGGCGGUUUUUUAAGUCUGAUGUGAAAGCCCACGGCUCAACCGUGGAGGGUCAUUGGAAACUGGAAAACUUGAGUGCAGAAAAGGAAAGUGGAAUUCCAUGUGUGGCGGUGAAAUGCGCAGAGAUAUGGAGGAACACCAGUGGCGAAGGCGACUUUCUGGUCUGUAACUGACGCUGAUGUGCGAAAGCGUGGGGAUCAAACAGGAUUAGAUACCCUGGUAGUACGCCGUAAACGAUGAGUGCUAAGUGUUAGGGGGUUUCCGCCCCUUAGUGCUGCAGCUAACGCAUUAAGCACUCCGCCUGGGGAGUACGACCGCAAGGUUGAAACUCAAAGGAAUUGACGGGGACCCGCACAAGCGGUGGAGCAUGUGGUUUAAUUCGAAGCAACGCGAAGAACCUUACCAAAUCUUGACAUCCUCUGACCCCUCUAGAGAUAGAGUUUUCCCCUUCGGGGGACAGAGUGACAGGUGGUGCAUGGUUGUCGUCAGCUCGUGUCGUGAGAUGUUGGGUUAAGUCCCGCAACGAGCGCAACCCUUAAGCUUAGUUGCCAUCAUUAAGUUGGGCACUCUAAGUUGACUGCCGGUGACAAACCGGAGGAAGGUGGGGAUGACGUCAAAUCAUCAUGCCCCUUAUGAUUUGGGCUACACACGUGCUACAAUGGACAAUACAAAGGGUAGCGAAACCGCGAGGUCAAGCAAAUCCCAUAAAGUUGUUCUCAGUUCGGAUUGUAGUCUGCAACUCGACUAUAUGAAGCUGGAAUCGCUAGUAAUCGUAGAUCAGCAUGCUACCUAUGCGAG
rnacentral:rRNA from 1 species